AGUGAACGCUGGCGGUAGGCCUAACACAUGCAAGUCGAACGGCAGCACAGUAAGAGCUUGCUCUUACGGGUGGCGAGUGGCGGACGGGUGAGGAAUACAUCGGAAUCUACUUUUUCGUGGGGGAUAACGUAGGGAAACUUACGCUAAUACCGCAUACCACCUACGGGUGAAAGCAGGGGAUCUUCGGACCUUGCGCGAUUGAAUGAGCCGAUGUCGGAUUAGCUAGUUGGCGGGGUAAAGGCCCACCAAGUCGACGAUCCGUAGCUGGUGUGAGAGGAUGAUCAGCCACACUGGAACUGGGACACGGUCCAGACUCCUACGGGAGGCAGCAGUGUGGAAUAUUGGACGAUGGGCGCAAGCCUGAUACAGCCAUACCGCGUGAGUGAAGAAGGCCUUCGGGUUGUAAAGCCCUUUUGUUGGGAAAGAAAAGCGGCAGGUUAAUACCCCGCUGUUCUGACGGUACCCAAAGAAUAAGCACCGGCUAACUUCGUG
rnacentral:rRNA from 1 species